rnacentral:rRNA from 1 species
UACGAAAGGUGCAAGCGUUACUCGGAAUCACUGGGCGUAAAGCGCACGUAGGCGGACUCGUAGGUCAAUUGUGAAAUACCUGGGCUCAACCCGGGAACUGCAGUUGAAACCGCUUGUCUUGAAUACCUGAGAGGGUGGGGGAAUACCUGGUGGAGAAGUGAAAUUCGUAGAGAUCAGGUGGAACACCGGAGGCGAAGGCGCCUGCCUGGCAGUGUAUUGACGCUGAGGUGCGAAAGCCAGGGGAGCGAACGGG